AGCGCUGUUUUCAACUGAAUAGACGUCAGUGAUUAGUAGAAAUUAUCGAAAUAAGACAAUUUUUUACAUGAAAUAAAUUCGAAUACAAAAAUAUUUUUCUGUUCUAUGACACAAAAUAGAUAAGUAUACGAAGUUUGAAAGUCUUUCCGUACCAAAAACACUACAUAAAACAUAAAUGAAAACUGGCGCCCCCGUUUUAAAAUAGAUCCAAGGAAUCAACAAAAAAACGUACCAAAGCUUUUAUAAAAGCUCUCAAAUCCAAAAUCCUAAAGGAUCCAACCAAAUCCAUGAGAAAAAUAGCAAUUGAACUUGAAGUAGACAACAAGACCAUUAGAAAUGCAAUAAAAUAUGAUUUGAGGUUUAAAUCUUACACAAUAACACCAAAACAUUUGUUGACAACAGCUAUGAAGGAAAAGAGAGUGGAAAGGUGCAAGAAAAUUAAUACAUGGUUCAAGAAAAAGGCCUCCAUUGUAACGAUCUUUUGAAAUGAUAAAACCUUCACUGUCGAUGCUGUUCUGAACCGCAGAAAUGACAGAUUUAUCGCAAAAUCGACAGUUGAGGUUAAGGGGACAUUCAAAACAAAACAUCCUGCAAAAGUUAUGACAUUUGCCCAAGGUGCCACGCAGUGGGACUGAACCCGGAACCAUGUGUUUGAAGCCAGAGGGAUAGAAGGUAAAACUGCCAAGGAAAGGAAUGAAUUCGGAAACGUAGAAAAAAAGAAGUGAAUUGACCCAACUCUGUCGUUUUGCGUCCAUCUGUUGAAUUAACAUAACCUGUUAUUGAUCGACAGGAUCAGAAUAAUGUUUCAGUUCAUACCAGUUCAAUUACAUUAGAGAUGAUUCGUGUAUUUUCUUCACCAUCUGUGAACUGGUCACAUCUCUAAUCGCCAUUAUACAGUGCAUAAGAAAAGAAAAGAAAAAUUUAAAUAAGAAAUAAAUCAUUGGAAAACGUACACACGUCUUUCUUCAUAUUUUAUCUCUUUCUCUCUUUUUGUAUCCAUCAAUAAUUGGUGAUUCGAUACUCGUGUUAUGAAUAUGUAAAAGAAAAGACACCUGUACACAUGAAAUAGUCGAUGUUUACAUAGGAUUUCACUUUUUUAUGAGUUUGAUAACAGAAAGUUACCAGUUGUUUUAAUUACUUACAAAUAAUAUAAAACUAUCAUACAAGAUUAGUUGAAAAAUCCUUAUUGAUGUUAUCUUAAACGAGCUCUUUAAUACUGUGACUUUCUCUAGUAUUACGAUUUAACAGAGAAGACUGCUAACAGCUUGAAAGACAACUGAGAUAAGACUUUUACCUGGAGACCGUCUUAGUGCUGAACAUGAAAUUUUUUAUUGUCUUGAUGUUAUAUAACUUCCUAACAAGUCUUGUACAAGGAACCACUGCAAAAAAGAAGGUAGACACCAGCCCAGUUAUUGUAGAUGGCAAACUCUCUGAAGAAGGUCAUUGGCCCUGGAUGGUCUCCAUUACUGCGAAACACAGACGGAAAAUAUUCAACUGUGGAGGCAUGCUUAUUACUAAAUAUUGGGUCCUCACAGCGGCACAUUGUCUUUAUGUCAAUGAAAU